GCGAGGGUGGCGGAAUUGGUAGACGCGAUAGUUUGAGGGACUAUUGGUGGAAACACUGUGAGGGUUCGAUCCCCUUCUCUCGCACCA
rnacentral:tRNA from 1 species